rnacentral:lncRNA from 1 species
GAGCUGGCAGAAAGGUUAGCACGCAGGGCGAAGUGCUUAGAUGUAUUUCGUCUCCGCUACGUUUUGAGUUCAAAUUCUGCCGAGGUCGACUUUGCCUUUCAUCCUUUCGGGGUCGAUUAAAUAAGUACCAGUUACGCACUGGGAGUGACAAGG